UUGCUGUAGUAUUUUGACUAUACAAAGGUAUUGUAAUAAGACUUUAAUUGAGUGCUAAAAGAAUGGACUUUCAAAAAAAUACUUUCUUGAAUUUAAUAAUUGAAUUUAUUUUUAUUUGUGAAGAAACAAUAAUUUAUAUUAAGGACAAGAAGACCCUAAGAAUUUUUGAAUUUAAAUAAAAAAGCUUUUUUAUUUAAAUUCUUAAUUGGGGCGAUUAAAAAAUAUUUUUAACUUUUUUUUAAAAAAAAUGACCCAUUAAUAAUGAUUUUUUGUAUCAAAUACUCUAGGGAUAACAGCGUAAUAAUUUUAGAUAGAUCUUAUAGAAAAAAUAGUUUGCGACCUCGAUGUUGGAUUAGGAUUUCUAUUUAAUGCAGAAGUUAAAAAUAGAAAGUUUGUUCAACUUUUAAAAUCC
rnacentral:rRNA from 1 species